rnacentral:rRNA from 1 species
UACGUAGGGGGCAAGCGGUUGUCCGGAAUCAUUGGGCGUAAAGAGCGUGUAGGCGGCCGAUAAGUCCGCUGUGAAAGUCCAGGCUCAACCCUGGGAUGCCGGUGGAUACUGUCGGGCUCGAGUCCGGAAGAGGAGUGUGGAAUUCCUGGUGUAGCGGUGAAUGCGCAGAUAUCAGGAGGAACACCAAUGGCGAAGGCAGCACUCUGGGACGUGACU